rnacentral:rRNA from 1 species
AGUUCGAUUAUGGCUCAGAUUGAACGCUGGCGGGAUGCUUUACACAUGCAAGUCGACCGGCAGCACGGACUUCGGUCUGGUGGCGAGGGCGAACGGGUGAGUAAUGUAUCGGAACGUGCCUAGUAGCGGGGGAUAACUACGCGAAAGCGUAGCCAAUACCGCAUACUGCCUCGGGGAAAGCGGGGGACCUUCGGGCCUCGCACGAUGAGAGCGGCCGAUAUCGGAUUUAGCCAGGUUGGCGGCACCAGUCUCACCAAGGCGACGAUCCGUAGCUGGUUUGAGAGGGACAUUCAGCCACACUGGGACUGGAGACACGGCCCAGACUCCCCUACGGGAGGCAGCAGUGGGGAAUUGGACGAAUGGGGAACCCCGAUCCAGCCAUCCCGCGUGCGAUGAAGGCCCUUCUCGGGUUGUAGCACUUUUGGCAGGAAAGAAACGGCACGGGAUAAUACCCGUGCAACUGACGGUACCGCAGAAUACACCGCUAAUCAUGCCAGCAGCCGCGGUAAUAUUGUAAAGUGGCACCUGAAUUACUGGCGUAAAAGCGUGCGCAGGCGGUUCGGAAAGAAAGAUGUGAAAUCCUGUUUAACUUUUGAACUGCAUUUAACUACCGAGCUAGAGUGUGUCGAGGUAGGUAAAUUCCGCGUAGCAGUGGAAUGCGUGAUAUAUGAGGAACACCGAUGGCGAAGGAGCUCUGAUAAUGAUUGACGCUCAUGCACGAAAGCGUGGGGAGCAAACAGAUUGGGAUGCUCUUGGUAGUCCACGCCCCAAACGAUGUCAACUAGCUGUUGGGGCUCGGGCCUUGUAGCGCAGCUGGACCGCAGGAAGUUGACCGCCUGUGGAGUACGGUCGCAAGAUUUAAACUCAGCGAAUGACGGGGACCUGUACCAAGCGGUGAUGAUGUGGAUUAAUUCGGAUGCAACGCGAAAACCUUACCUACUCCUGAUAUCUGAAUCCCAGAGAUCGGAGUGCUCGCAAGAGAACCGAACACAGGUGCUGCAUGGCCGUCGCCCAGCUCGUCGUGAGAUGCUGGGUUAAGUCCCGCACCAGCGCAACCCUUGUCAUUAGCUGCUACGAAAGGGCACGACGAGACUGCCGGCACAAACCGAUAGCGGUGGAUGACGUCAAGUCCCUGCGUGGUCUUUAUGGGCAGGGCUUCGCACGUCACAAUGGUCGGGACAGAGGUGCCGGCUGCUAACCCGCGAGGGGGGAGCCAAUCCCAGAACCUGAUCAGUCCUGAUCGCAGUCUGCAACCUGACGGUGGUGAAGUCGGAAUCGCUAGUAAUCGCGGAUCAGCAUGUCGCGGUAACAUGUCCCGGCCCGGCACACCGCCCGUCACAACAAGGAGUGGGGCUCACCAGAAGGGUUGAACAACCGUGGCGAGGGCGAUUAUCACGGUGAGAUUCACACCGGGUGGAAGUCGUAAUAAGGUAACUUCAGGCCAUUACCUGAUGCCUCAGGAGCACGACGCAACCGAAUCAGGCGCACUUC